rnacentral:rRNA from 1 species
UCUAGUGUAGAGGUGAAAUUCGUAGAUAUUAGAAAGAAUACCAAUUGCGAAGGCAGCUUUCUGGAUCAUUACUGACACUGAGGAACGAAAGCAUGGGUAGCGAAGAGGAUUAGAUACCCUCGUAGUCCAUGCCGUAAACGAUGUGUGUUAGACGUUGGAAAUUUAUUUUCAGUGUCGCAGCGAAAGCGAUAAACACACCGCCUGGGGAGUACGACCGCAAGGUUAAAACUCAAAUGAAUUGACGGGGACCCGCACAAGUAGUGGAGCAUGUGGUUUAAUUCGAAGAUACGCGCAGAACCUUACCAACACUUGACAUGUUCGUCGCGACUUUAAGAGAUUAAAGUUUUCGGUUCGGCCGGACGAAACACAGGUGCUGCAUGGCUGUCGUCAGCUCGUGUCGUGAGAUGUUGGGUUAAGUCCCGCAACGAGCGCAACCCUCACUUUUAGUUGCCAUCAUUUAGUUGGGCACUCUGAAAGAACUGCCAGUGAUAAGCUGGAGGAAGGUGGGGAUGACGUCAAGUCCUCAUGGCCCUUACGUGUUGGGCUACACACGUGCUACAAUGGUAUCUACAACAGGAAGCAAAACAGCGAUGUUAAGCAAAUCCUUAAAAGAUACCUCAGUUCGGAUUGCACUCUGCAACUCGAGUGCAUGAAGCUGGAAUUACUAGUAAUCGUGGAUCAGCGUGCCACGGUGAAUGCGUUCCCGGGUCUUGUACACACCGCCCGUCACACCAUGGGAGUUGGUUCUACCUUAAGGCAAGGUUUAAUACCCUUGACCACGGUAUAGUCAGCGACUGGGGUGAAGUCGUAACAAGGUAGCCGUAGGGGAACCUGCGGCUG